AAAAAUGUCAAAAAGGGUAGAAAGGCCGAAAUUGGGAAUAUAAAAUCAAAAUUUUUAGAAGAAGAGAUCAGGUUUGGCACAACUCUGAUCACUUCCCUUAAUCCUCUCCUCAAAAUCCUCACUACUAACCCACCACAAACCGAGCACUGUCCCACUACACCUUAAAAUACCUUACUUUCCUCCACCAAUCCCACAACUAUCGAAAUCAUCCUCAUUAUCCCCCUAAAAAUCAGGCACAACAUCCUCACACUCCUAAAAUAUUCAUAAUUUUGGUCAAACUACAACACUCAUACAUUACAAGUAAUAAAAAAAUCCCCUUGAUCGUGCAGAGAUCCAAACCCCAGACUUCCAACCACUUAACACUCCACUAACCUCCAGACCAGCAAGCCCAUUCUAAC
rnacentral:lncRNA from 1 species